rnacentral:rRNA from 1 species
CUGGCCUUGACAUCCAGAGAACUUUCCAGAGAUGGAUUGGUGCCUUCGGGAACUCUGAGACAGGUGCUGCACGGCCGUCGUCAGCUCGUGUCGUGAGAUGUUGGGUUAAGUCCCGUAACGAGCGCAACCCCUAUCCCUGGUUGCUAGCAGGUAAUGCUGAGAACUCCAGGGAGACUGCCGGUGACAAACCGGAGGAAGGUGGGGAUGACGUCAGGUCAUCAUGGCCCUUACGGCCAGGGCUACACACGUGCUACAAUGGCGCGUACAGAGGGCUGCCAACUCGCGAGAGUGAGCCAAUCCCUUAAAACGCGUCGUAGUCCGGAUCGGAGUCUGCAACUCGACUCCGUGAAGUCGGAAUCGCUAGUAAUCGCGAAUCAGAAUGUCGCGGUGAAUACGUUCCC